rnacentral:rRNA from 1 species
AGCGAACGCUGGCGGCGUGCCUAACACAUGCAAGUCGAACGUGAAAGGGAGCAAUCCCAAGUAAAGUGGCGUACGGGUGAGUAACACGUAGGUAAUCUACCCCAGAAUCUGGAAUAACCGGCCGAAAGGCUGGCUAAUACUGGAUAGAGCGACGGAAUCCGUAAUUGGGUUUUUCGGGAAAGGGAGCCUGUAAAAAGGCCUUCGUUCUGGGAUGAGCCUGCGUCCCAUCAGCUAGUUGGUGAGGUAAAAGCUUACCAAGGCAAUGACGGGUAGCUGGUCUGAGAGGACGGUCAGCCACACUGGAACUGAAACACGGUCCAGACUCCUACGGGAGGCAGCAGUGGGGAAUCUUGCGCAAUGGACGAAAGUCUGACGCAGCAACGCCGCGGGAGUGAAGAAGGCCUUCGGGUUGUAAAGCUCUGUCGAGUGGGACGAAAAUGCUUGGAGUUCACAGCUCCAGGAACUGACGGUACCACUAAAGGAAGCACCGGCUAACUCCGUG